rnacentral:rRNA from 1 species
CUGCCAGACUCCUACGGGAGGCAGCAGUGGGGAAUAUUGCACAAUGGGGGGAACCCUGAUGCAGCGACGCCGCGUGAGUGAAGAAGUAUUUCGGUCUGUAAAGCUCUAUCAGCAGGGAAGAAAAUGACGGUACCUGACUAAGAAGCCCCGGCUAACUACGUGCCAGCAGCCGCGGUAAUACGUAGGGGGCAAGCGUCAUCCGGAUUUACUGGGUGUAAAGGGAGCGUAGACGGCAGAGCAAGUCUGAAGUGAAAGCCCGCGGCCCAACUGCGGGACUGCUUUGGAAACUGUCCGGCUGGAGUGCAGGAGAGGUAAGUGGAAUUCCUAGUGUAGCGGUGAAAUGCGUAGAUAUUAGGAGGAACACCAGUGGCGAAGGCGGCUUACUGGACUGUAACUGACGUUGAGGCUCGAAAGCGUGGGGAGCAAACAGGAUUAGAUACCCCCGUA